rnacentral:rRNA from 1 species
GGAGGAAAAGAAACCAACAGGGAUUGCCUUAGUAACGGCGAGUGAAGCGGCAAAAGCUCAAAUUUGAAAUCUGGCACCUUCGGUGUCCGAGUUGUAAUUUGAAGAAGGUAACUUUGGGAUUGGCUCUUGUCUAAGUUCCUUGGAACAGGACGUCACAGAGGGUGAGAAUCCCGUGCGAUGAGAUGACCAAUCCUAUGUAAAGUGCUUUCGAAGAGUCGAGUUGUUUGGGAAUGCAGCUCUAAGUGGGUGGUAAAUUCCAUCUAAAGCUAAAUAUUGGCGAGAGACCGAUAGCGAACAAGUACAGUGAUGGAAAGAUGAAAAGAACUUUGAAAAGAGAGUGAAAAAGUACGUGAAAUUGUUGAAAGGGAAGGGCUUGAGAUCAGACUUGGUAUUUUGCAUUCCUUACCUUCGUGGUGGGGUUCCUUGCAGUUUACUGGGCCAGCAUCGGUUUGGAUGGUGGGAUAAUGACAUUGGAAUGUGGCUCUGCUUCGGUAGAGUGUUAUAGCCAGUGUUGAUACCGCCUGUCUAGACCGAGGACUGCGUCUUUGACUAGGAUGCUGGCAUAAUGAUCUUA